GAAUAUUGGACAAUGGGCGCAAGCCUGAUCCAGCAAUGCCGCGUGAGUGAUGAAGGCCUUAGGGUUGUAAAGCUCUUUCGCCCGCGACGAUGAUGACGGUAGCGGGAGAAGAAGCCCCGGCUAACUCCGUGCCAGCAGCCGCGGUAAUACGGAGGGGGCUAGCGUUGUUCGGAAUUACUGGGCGUAAAGCGCACGUAGGCGGAUUCGUAAGUCAGGGGUGAAAUCCCGAGGCUCAACCUCGGAACUGCCUUUGAUACUGCGAAUCUCGAGUCCGGAAGAGGUGAGUGGAAUUCCUAGUGUAGAGGUGAAAUUCGUAGAUAUUAGGAAGAACACCAGUGGCGAAGGCGGCUCACUGGUCCGGUACUGACGCUGAGGUGCGAAAGCGGGGGGAGCAAACAGG
rnacentral:rRNA from 1 species